UACCGGCAGCUCAAGUGAUGACCGAUUUUAUUGGGCCUAAAGCGUCCGUAGCUGGCCGCGCAAGUCUGUCGGGAAAUCCACCCGCUCAACGGGUGGGCGUCCGGCGGAAACUGUGCGGCUUGGGACAGGAAGGCUCGAGGGGUACGUUCGGGGUAGGAGUGAAAUCCCGUAAUCCUGAACGGACCACCGAUGGCGAAAGCACCUCGAGAGGACUGAUCCGACAGUGAGGGACGAAAGCUGGGGUCUCGAACCGG
rnacentral:rRNA from 1 species